GGCUCUGUGAUUACAUGCCCCUUUCUUGUGGGCGAUAUACGCUAUUCCGACUCCAAGAAUCGUGAGCUGAAAAUCCAAUGUGUUUCUUAUGAGAGCC